rnacentral:misc_RNA from 1 species
GCAGCUGCUAACUCCCAAAAAAGCCUUUUGUCACAUGACAAUAGAAAUUACUAUAAGAAAAUUAAAAAAGAGAACAGACUUGGAGGCUAUUAUAAACCCUCAAACUCUCAAGUCUACAUGAAAAAUGCCAGUGUUGUAUGCUGCUAUAAUGCUAACUAUAACACUUGUAUUCUCAGUUAAACAAGAAGAAGCUAAACCCCCGAUAAAUACAACCAUAUCUGUUUUUCAAACAGUAUUUGGUCUGAGAGAUUAUAAUGAAGAAACAUAAACAAAUCUCACAUGCUAACUUCUACCUCAGGAUCAGUUUCGACAGGCAUAGGAGGUGAACUAUUGCCGCCUCUCAAACGUGAAGAUACAUUGUCGAUAGCAGAAUUCAGUUGGCUGAUCUUUGCAUUCAAGGUCUGCCUGGUCAUCUCUAAACCUUCGUCAUAAUAUAUUGGUCGCUUGGCCCGCCGGAACCCAUAUUCAUCUUCAUUCAGCAGGGAUCUUCUUAUCUGAAGCAGUAGAAAAAAUAGAUAAAUAAAACCAGCAAUUGUAACAUAAACCAUCUUCAAAAGGACUAAUUUCGAAGUUAGGAAGCAACAAAAAAAAAAUCCCCAUUGACUUCAUCGAACAAAUAUAGUAGAUGGACAGGGGGAUCCGCCUUUUUUUUUUUUAAUGCACCGAAGAAGCUUCAGCAACGAUUAGGCAUUAAGAUGAGACUUGUAGACAUCUGGCAAUCAAGUGAAAAUACAGCUAUAAAUGCAGAAUAUAUAUAUAAGGAAAUAUUACCAUAAAAAUAAUACAGCCAAUUAACUGUUUAAUCAUGUUCUAAUAUCAUCAUCAUUUUAUUGGCUAACACAAAGGGAAGGGUGAGUGCCCAUAUCAUAGAAUGGACAACAGAGAAUUGGGCAACAACGUGCUAUCAAACACCAUUUCAACAUCAAUAGUUUUAAAUGUUGCAAGCAUAGCUUAUAGAUGGAAUAACAGGGAUGUAGGGCUAUUACAUUGUAAUAGCCUUCAUAAGCUUUACACUUCCUGUUAUAAAAGAAGGAAAAAAAGAAAAAAGCAAUCAUCCAAUUCAUUAAUUACCACAUGUUAUGGAUGCACAAUACACAAUUUUUGAGAAGCAUGGACUGUAGUCCACGUGCAAGAUUCAGAAACGCAAGAUUCAGAAACGCAAGACUCAACCUGACGUCAUGUGCCAUCAACAAUUGUUAUGCAAUUGUGCAGCAAUUAGUCUUUUUGUGUUUUCCCUUCUACGUAAUGCAUUUAAAUGAAGGAAAUGUUUGCCUUAUCCAUCACUUGAAUUGCCAUCUUUUUAGAUCCUUUGAUGGAAAAUUUUAAUGCCAAAAAGUAUAAAAUGCUAAAACAAAUACAUCUAAUCACCUGAGGAGCAAAAAUAUAAGCUAAAGUUCCAAAUAUGGCGCCUCCUAAAAGAAAUCCUGCAACAAAAUCGCUGCCACUGCCCCUACUACCAUCACUGCAUAUAACAGAAGAAAUGAUAAAACAAAUCUCAAAAACUAGGGUAAGCAGGGUACACUCAGAUGGUAUAACAUUAGAUUGUAUAAAUAUCAAAAUAAUAAAAGUCAGAUGAACCAUACAAAAACUAAGCUAGAUUAACCAUAUGCAAACCAUAAGAAAGAGUAAUUUAAAAAGAAAAAGAGUACAUU